rnacentral:misc_RNA from 1 species
AACGCACAUUGCGCCCGCCAGUAUUCUGGCGGGCAUGCCUGUCUGAGCGUCAUUUCAACCCUCAUGCCCCUAGGGCGUGGUGUUGGGGAUCGGCCAAAGCCCGCGAGGGACGGCCGGCCCCUAAAUCUAGUGGCGGACCCGUCGUGGCCUCCUCUGCGAAGUAGUGAUAUUCCGCAUCGGAGAGCGAUGAGCCCCUGCCGUUAAACCCCCAACUUUCUAAGGUUGACCUCAGAUCAGGUAGGAAUACCCGCUGAACUUAA